AACGAACGCUGGCGGCAGGCUUAACACAUGCAAGUCGAACGCGUGUAGCAAUACACGAGUGGCGCACGGGUGAGUAACGCGUGGAUAUCUGCCUUUUGGUUCGGAAUAACUCCGGGAAACUGGAGCUAAUACCGGAUGGUUCCUACGGGAUAAAGAUUUAUCGCCAAAAGAUGAGUCCGCGUACGAUUAGCUAGUUGGUGAGGUAAUGGCUCACCAAGGCGACGAUCGUUAGCUGGUCUGAGAGGACGAUCAGCCACACUGGGACUGAGACACGGCCCAGACUCCUACGGGAGGCAGCAGUGGGGAAUAUUGGACAAUGGGGGCAACCCUGAUCCAGCCAUGCCGCGUGAGUGAUGAAGGCCUUCGGUGUAAAGACUCUUUGGUCGGGGACGAGUGAUGACGGUA
rnacentral:rRNA from 1 species